rnacentral:rRNA from 1 species
GACGAACGCUGGCGGCGUGCUUAACACAUGCAAGUCGAACGGAAAGGCCCUUUCGGGGGUACUCGAGUGGCGAACGGGUGAGUAACACGUGGGUGAUCUGCCCUGCACUUCGGGAUAAGCCUGGGAAACUGGGUCUAAUACCGGAUAGGACUACGAAUCGCAUGGUUUGUGGUGGAAAGCUUUUGCGGUGUGGGAUGGGCCCGCGGCCUAUCAGCUUGUUGGUGAGGUUACGGCUCACCAAGGCGACGACGGGUAGCCGGCCUGAGAGGGUGACCGGCCACACUGGGACUGAGAUACGGCCCAGACUCCUACGGGAGGCAGCAGUGGGGAAUAUUGCACAAUGGGCGCAAGCCUGAUGCAGCGACGCCGCGUGAGGGAUGACGGCCUUCGGGUUGUAAACCUCUUUCAGUAGGGACGAAGCGAAAGUGACGGUACCUGCAGAAGAAGGACCGGCCAACUACGUGCCAGCCGCCGCCGUAACAC